AUGGCUGGCAUGAGCGCUCCUUGUCAACAAAAUAAAGGUAAACUGUACCUGCCACAUCUCAGGAGGAGGCGGUGUUGGUCAUGUACAGUGUCUGGGUACCUUCAGGAGCCCAGGUUCCUUGUUGCUUCUCUGUGGGGAGGGGCAAAGACUGGAAAUGACCUGUGGGCAGGUGUCACGUGCCAUGCACCCUGUCUUCACCACCCAGGGAACACAGCUGCCCCUUGGUGGACCUGGUGCAAGCGAUUGCAGGUGAGGGUUUUUGGGGUGCUGGGAUGGAGCCUAGGACCUCACAAGUGCCUGGAAGCACUGACCACUGAGCCAUGUCCCAGUCACAUGUCCGUUCUGUUUUUCUGUUUCAAGGAACGGUUCAGAGCUGUGGGCGAAGUUGUGAACCAUCUAAGAAGGACCUGGGUCAGGCCCAGCUUCCCCUUUGCCAGCCUGGGAUCCUCGGCCCGGAUCCCAAGCCCCCAGAUGCAGGCUGAGCCAGGGAGGAUCCAGCUGGGAGGAAGAGGACCCAAGUGACUGCUCCCUGCUGGCCUCCUCCUGCUGGAAGCCAGCCCGUCUGGGCCCUCAGUCGCGUGCCAUGUGUGCCCUUACCUCCCCAUUUUCAUGAUGGAGAAGCACAGCCUGGAGUUGGAUUGCGCCAGGCCAACGAGCUGUGGGACUCAGCUUCCUUGGGCAGCUCUCCAGUGGAGGGGCUGCAUUGGUGCCACGUGUCUUUGGCAUGGGUCAGUGAGUGUUCAUAGACACUGCCGGGCCCUCGGUGGCAUUCCUCACCCGCCAUUCGACAGCUCAGCUGCACAAGCUUCCGGGUGCUGUGGAGUUUCCUGCGUGUCAGGUUUCUGUUGGUAACUAAUGUUACUAAUGUAACUAAUGUUACAGCGCCAUGCACUAGGGAGGGCCAUAGGGUCCUGAGUCUUACAGCCUGCCUUGCAGGCAGCCGUGCAGUUGAUCCUGGUGAGCCAGUGCUGAGCAGCCCGGGCUUGGAAACCGCAGGAGGUUUGCCCAGGCUUGCCUACCUUGACAGAAAUGCAGGCACUUUAAAAGACGCUGUGGAAUGAGUGAAUUCCUGAGAAGUAGAGAGUUGUGCAAGCAGAGUCCUGGGGCCAUGGAAUAAUACUGUGUGCAUUGCCCUGCUGGGAGUCCAGGCAGCCCAGUCUGGAGUUCAGGGCUUUUCCCUGGGGCAGAUUGUUCACUGCUGUGCGACUUCUCAUCCGGGUGGAGACAAACAGCACCCAUCUCUGAGCAGGGCCAUCCCGAUUCCGGAGGGAAAGCCACCCUUCCUGGAAGGCUUGUUGCGCUGCCCUGUGCACCCCUCUGCCCUCGUGGGGCAGGAGCGAACACUGCCCGCUGACUUCUGCACUCAGAAGAGAAAGAAAUGCCCGAGCGAUGCUUUCCCUAGCGCUUUCUUUGCAGACACUCACUUUAUGGUUUGCCUUUAAAAAAAAAAAAUCUUUAUUUGACUUAAAAACUUACAGUAAAAACUAGAGGAACGAGAGACCUGACCACUCGCACAGCCCCUCCCAGGCUUUUCUGAAGGAGAGGGUUUCUGUGUAUUUGAUGAUGGUUCUUUUUCUACCCUAUUUAUCUGUGUAGAGGGAAGGGAACUUGUCUCUUCCGGUCACAGUAGCACCGUAGAAAGACCUUAGCACUCCAUAGAUGGUAAAUAAAUAAUUGGUGAGCACAUUUCAGCUGCUGAGGGGAGACAGGAGGAGCCAGCUACACUCCCUGGAGUCCUGCCUCCUGGUGGAGUGGCUGUGGCUUCUGGGGUUUCUGGUGUGCCGGGGAAGCGAGCCCCGCUGACCCAGCACAGCAGAGUGGCACAGACCGAGAGGUGGGAAUGGCAGGAGUGGAUCUGCCUGCGACAGUGGAGGCCGAAGCUGUGGUCACGGUGUCAGCAAGCCAGGCCCGCAGAUGACGCUGCCCUCGGUGUCCUCCUGCCCUCCUCUGAUACAGGCCCCCACCAGAGUGGACCGCGGCCCAUCCUGAUGACCCAGUUUUACCUAAUUCUGCGCUAAGUUCUCGUCUCCAAGUGUAGCCGC
rnacentral:lncRNA from 1 species